rnacentral:rRNA from 1 species
GAUGAACGCUGGCGGCGUGCCUAAUACAUGCAAGUCGAGCGAACGGACGAGAAGCUUGCUUCUCUGAUGUUAGCGGCGGACGGGUGAGUAACACGUGGAUAACCUACCUAUAAGACUGGGAUAACUUCGGGAAACCGGAGCUAAUACCGGAUGAUAUUUUGAACCGCAUGGUUCAAAAGUGAAAGACGGUCUUGCUGUCACUUAUAGAUGGAUCCGCGCUGCAUUAGCUAGUUGGUAAGGUAACGGCUUACCAAGGCAACGAUGCAUAGCCGACCUGAGAGGGUGAUCGGCCACACUGGAACUGAGACACGGUCCAGACUCCUACGGGAGGCAGCAGUAGGGAAUCUUCCGCAAUGGGCGAAAGCCUGACGGAGCAACGCCGCGUGAGUGAUGAAGGUCUUCGGAUCGUAAAACUCUGUUAUUAGGGAAGAACAUAUGUGUAAGUAACUGUGCACAUCUUGACGCUACCUAAUCAGAAAGCCACGGCUAACUACGUG